UACAGAGGUCUCGAGCGUUGUUCGGAUUCAUUGGGCGUAAAGGGCGCGUAGGCGGUCAGCACAAGUCAGUUGUGAAAUCUCCGGGCUUAACUCGGAAAGGUCAACUGAUACUGUGCGACUAGAGUGCAGAAGGGGCAACUGGAAUUCUCGGUGUAGCGGUGAAAUGCGUAGAUAUCGAGAGGAACACCUGCGGCGAAGGCGGGUUGCUGGGCUGACACUGACGCUGAUGCGCGAAAGCUAGGGGAGCGAACGGG
rnacentral:rRNA from 1 species